GACGAACGCUGGCGGCGUGCUUAACACAUGCAAGUCGAACGGAAAGGCCCUGCUUUUGUGGGGUGCUCGAGUGGCGAACGGGUAAUUAACACUGGAUUAACCUGCCCUUGACUUUGGGAUACCUUCAGAAAACUGGGGCUAAUCCCGGAUAGAGGCUCCUUCUCAAGGGGGGGGUUGGAAAAGUUUCGGCGGUUGGGGAUGGACUCGCGGCUUAUCAGCUUGUUGGUGGGGUGGGGGCUUACCAAGGCUUUGACGGGUAGCCGGCCUGAGAGGGUGACCGGCCACAUUGGGACUGAGAUACGGCCCAGACUCCUACGGGAGGCAGCAGUGGGGAAUAUUGCACAAUGGGCGGAAGCCUGAUGCAGCAACGCCGCGUGCGGGAUGACGGCCUUCGGGUUGUAAACCGCUUUCGCCUGUGACGAAGCGUGAGUGACGGUAAUGGGUAAAGAAGCACCGGCUAACUACGUG
rnacentral:rRNA from 1 species